rnacentral:misc_RNA from 1 species
AAGUCGUAACAAGGUUUCCGUAGGUGAACCUGCGGAAGGAUCAUUACAGAAUUUAAAUGGGUUGUCGCUGGCCUCUGUCUGAGGUAUGUGCACGCCUAUCUUAAACUCUUCAACCCCUGUGCACCUUUUGUGAGCUUUUUUUCGAGUGUGGAUUUUGCGGAUUUGAGAAUAUGCAUCUAACACGUGCUUUUCUUGUUUCCAGUCGCGGAUUCAAACUCUUUAAAAGUUCACGUUUAUUACACAAACCAUGUAUUUAAACCUCAGAAUGCUUCAUUAGAGUUGGGACUAGCGCCCUUCUUUAAAAUGUCUAUACAACUUUCGACAACGGAUCUCUUGGCUCUC